UACGAAGGGUGCAAGCGUUGUUCGGAUUUAUUGGGCGUAAAGCGCGCGUAGGCGGAUUUGAAAGUCAGGUGUGAAAUCUCGGGGCUCAACCCCGAAACUGCGCCUGAAACUUCAUAUCUAGAAUCUUGGAGGGGGAGGAGGAAUUUCGCAUGUAGGGGUAAAAUCCGUAGAGAUGCGAAGGAACACCAGAGGCGAAAGCGUCUUCCUGGACAAGAAUUGACGCUAAGGCGCGAAAGCGUGGGGAGCAAACAGG
rnacentral:rRNA from 1 species